ACGCCGCGUGAGUGAUGAAGGUUUUCGGAUCGUAAAGCUCUGUUGUUAGGGAAGAACAAGUACCGUUCGAAUAGGGCGGUACCUUGACGGUACCUAACCAGAAAGCCACGGCUAACUACGUGCCAGCAGCCGCGGUAAUACGUAGGUGGCAAGCGUUGUCCGGAAUUAUUGGGCGUAAAGGGCUCGCAGGCGGUUUCUUAAGUCUGAUGUGAAAGCCCCCGGCUCAACCGGGGAGGGUCAUUGGAAACUGGGGAACUUGAGUGCAGAAGAGGAGAGUGGAAUUCCACGUGUAGCGGUGAAAUGCGUAGAGAUGUGGAGGAACACCAGUGGCGAAGGCGACUCUCUGGUCUGUAACUGACGCUG
rnacentral:rRNA from 1 species